rnacentral:rRNA from 1 species
GAUGAACGCUGGCGGCGUGCUUAAUACAUGCAAGUCGAACGGAGACUGUAGCAAUACUGUCUUAGUGGCGAACGGGUGAGUAACGCGUUGGUGACCUGCCCCGAAGAGGGGGAUAACAGUCCGAAAGGAUUGCUAAUACCCCAUGUGGUCGUUUGGAUUAGAUGCCUUACGACUAAACGGAUUUAUUCGCUUCGGGAGGGGCCUGCGUCCCAUCAGCUAGUUGGUAGGGUAAUAGCCUACCAAGGCGAUGACGGGUAGGGGACCUGAGAGGGUGGCCCCCCAAAUGGAACUGAAACACGGUCCAUACACCUACGGGUGCAGCAGUAGGGAAUAUUGGUAAUCUGGGAAACCGGGAACCAGCAACGCCGCGUGCGCGAUGAAGGCCUUCGGGUUGUAAAGCGCUUUUUAAAGGGAUGAGGAAGGACAGUACCUUUAGAAUAAGCCUCGGCUAACUACGUGCCAGCAGCCGCGGUAAGCUCGUCUCUA